rnacentral:rRNA from 1 species
CCUACGGGUGGCAGCAGUGGGGGAUAUUGGACAAUGGGGGGAACCCUGAUCCAGCGACGCCGCGUGAGUGAAGAAGUAUUUCGGUAUGUAAAGCUCUGUCAGCAGGGAAGAAAGCAAUGACGGUACCUGACCACGAAGCCCCGGCUCACUACGUGCCAGCAGCCGCGGUAAUACGUAGGGGGCAAGCGUUAUCCGGAAUUACUGGGUGUAAAGGGAGCGUAGACGGCUGUACAAGUCUGGAGUGAAAGGCGGGGGCGCAGCCCCCGGACUGCUCUGGAAACUGUAUGGCUGGAGUGCAGGAGAGGUAAGCGGAAUUCCUAGUGUAGCGGUGAAAUGCGUAGAUAUUAGGAGGAACACCAGUGGCGAAGGCGGCUUACUGGACUGUAACUGACGUUGAGGCUCGAAAGCGUGGGGAGCAAACAGGAUUAGAUACCCUUGUAGUC